rnacentral:rRNA from 1 species
UACGAAGGGGGCUAGCGUUGCUCGGAAUCACUGGGCGUAAAGGGUGCGUAGGCGGGUCUUUAAGUCAGGGGUGAAAUCCUGGAGCUCAACUCCAGAACUGCCUUUGAUACUGAGGAUCUUGAGUUCGGGAGAGGUGAGUGGAACUGCGAGUGUAGAGGUGAAAUUCGUAGAUAUUCGCAAGAACACCAGUGGCGAAGGCGGCUCACUGGUCCGGUUCUGACGCUGAGGCGCGAAAGCGUGGGUAGCAAACAGG